UCCCCUGCCCCAGGACAUGCUGAGCAUCUGCACUGCUUGGGUUGUAGGAAAUCUCUACUUCCCUUUAUCUGGCUGGAGAAAGGAAGUUACAGGAGACACAGUUGGGCAAGGUGUGGAGGAAGGGACCACUUUGUCCUUUGUGGGCAAUGGCAGAAAUCCUGGGCUGGGCUGACAGUGGCAAAGUGGUGUAGAGCCCACCUGCGGUGGAAUGAGGAUGGAUGUGAGCUCCCAGAUCAGAGCAGGUUUGCUGCAGAUUUCAGUGUGAGCUGGACCAGAGGGGCUGGCUGGGAGGAGAACCACCCUGCAGAAAGCCUGUGCUCCCUCCUUCCCCACUGCCAGCCCAUGUGAGUGGCAUCACCCCACUGUGGCCCACAAACAAGCCUGGCACCGGACAAAACCCACCUGGCUCUCCUCCCAUGCACCUGCUCUCCAAGGUACUGUAUGAGCAGAAAACUCCAUCCAGCUGCUCCCCUGCCUUUGUCAUCAGAGACCAAGAAAAAUCAAUUCUCAAAGUAAUUAAGAAGCAGUUGAAAAUGCACCGUAUGGCUCGGCACAGUGCCAUGUAACACCUGCAGGAGGCUUUUGCCAGGACAGCAGGAGGGAGAGAAGGGAGGUCUGAGCACAUGACAGAGUGAGAGAUGGAAGAGCUGGCGCUGAAGGGAAUGUGCAGAAAUCCAAGCUAAAACUCCAAGUCCAAAAAUUCGCAGGAAUAUUUCUCCCUCUUUGACCCUCCUCUCCCCAAAAGCAUGCUCUUGCAACAUCCCAGAAGAGAUGGGAAGAGAGCCCCAGCCACGGGCAGGGAGGUGGCCUGGCCCCUCACACGGUGGUGAAUAUGGUGACUGGCUGGUGGCUUUGCUGUCAAGGUGUCUUCAGCCUGGAAGGAAGUGGUGGCACCCAGCCACGUGCUGGAGGCCACAUCCUGCCAUCCCACCGAGGCCAGACCUCGCUGCCCCUGAAGCCGGGAGACACGAGGCCGUGCUGCUGCCCUCCGGAUGCUGGCAGAUUGAUUGCCUUCUGAUUCAGUCCAAUAAUCAAGAGUAAUUGCCUGGCAGUUCCCUCCCUGCCUAAUGGGCUGUCUCCCAUCGUGGCUCCCCAGCCUGGCUCCACCCAGCCUGCUCACAGGGAUGCAGCAGAGCACAGCAUCCCCCACAACUCAUGCAUGCCCCAUCCAUCUGCCCAAGAUCCUCACGAGCCCUGGUGGCCUCUCCACCUGGCCCUGACCUGAUAUUCUCCUUCCCAAACCCAGUGUUGGGCUUUUCCUGCUUUAUCAGCACAUUGGUGGACCACACUUGCCAGCUGCAAGGGCCAUCAGCUCUACCCAUGCCUUGUGGCUCCCCUUAUUUGACGUAUAAUCUUCUAAUUAAUAAUCAGCCUUUUCAAAGUGGAAUGCAAACAUUAAUUAAUUCCCCAUGAGGCAGGUAAUUAACAGCCAUGACUCCCAUUUUACUGCCAGGGAAUCUGCAAGAGAGAGAUUUGCACGAUCCACAUCGAGGUGACAGAGGAAUGACCGGGCAAAGGCAGCUCUGCUCCAACCUGGCCCUGCAGGAACCCGAGGCUGGGUCCCCUUCCACUCAGGGCUUCCUGGGGGGACCCUCCUGGGCUAUCUCUUCUUUAUCACUGUGGCCAUCUCCACAUGGAGGGGAUGGCACAAUCCCAAAGUGGCCUGGCAGGACACAUCCAUCACUGUGGCCAUCUCCACAUGGUGGGGAUGGCCUGGUCCCAAAGUGGCCUGGCAGGACACCAUGGCCACCUCUGCCAUGGCCCUGGGGUGGCCCAGAAAAUCCCACAGGUCUCCUCUCCCUCUGUACCACUCCCUCCAAAGCACCCACCUGGGUGCAGCUGUGAUGCUGAAUUUUGGGGACCUUCACCAGGACAAGGCACUCGUGGGGAAGGGGAUGCCAUCCAAAGGGAAAGAGUUUCUCGUGUAUUCCCAUCCCUGCCUGGUGUCCCAUUGCCUCCCAUCCCCCCAGGUAAUUGCAAAUCUCCAUCUCAACAAGCUUUUGCAGGUUCCUCCUGCUGCUCUCCUCCUUUGUUCAUCCCACAGCAGGAGUAAUGAAGGGGGGGGAAUAAUGCCUGGGUCCCCUUCAGUGAGACCCAUAUGGGCAGUUUGGGGAGGGAGCUUCAUCCUCAUCCUCAGUGUGAUCUCUGCAGCUCCCUGAUGACAAAGAGCUUGCUGGUGUGGCCUGCAAGACCUUGACUGCAGGCCUGGCUCCUGUCUCUAUGAUGCUGGACAAGGGGUUCUCCAUGGAGAACAGGAAUUUUGAGCCUUUUUUCCCCCCGAGAUGUUUUUUUUAACCUGUCACUACAGUUUUUAAACGGCUGAGAUUACACAUCCAAGGUCCCCACGCUCAAGUCUCUGUGCUUCCAGCCGGCAACAGAUUGCGAGUGGCUGCUGCUACUUUACUUACAGGACUGCUUAAUUAACUUGAUUAAUCAGCCCGUGUUCGCACAACACUCUGGAGACGCAGAGCCCUCUGGUUGCUGCUGCCUGCUGCUCUGCGGCCGCUGCCCUCCCCUUUAUUCCCGACCACUGUCGGAUGGUCACAGGCAAGAAGGGAAUCGCAGAAAGGCAGCCUGGGCUGGAGCAGCCACGUCUCCUACUCCAGCAAGGUUUGGAGCAGAGAAUAGAAACAAAUAUUGCUCAAAUCUGACCAAACCACUGCUCCCGUGGUGUGCCCUGCCAGCACGGGGCAGGAUGGAGAGCAGGGACCAGGCUCCCCUGCUUGACUCGAUGAGCCAGAGCCAGCGGAGCGUUCCCGUCUCCCCGGUCCCGUUGCCACCGUAGACACACGGGCUUUAACAGUGCCCGGUGGCGCCGGCGGCGUUCCCGGUUGCCCGGGCGGGUCCAAGGGCCGAGGGCCUGGUGGCGGCCGGCAGGAGCCUGUCGCCGCCGCUUGCUGACAUCAGCAGUGAACUUGGCCCCGCGUCCCGCUGCUCCCGCUCCCGGCCGGGGUCACCGGUGCCCGCCCGGCCCAGGGGUGCAGGUGACGGGCGCUCCACGUGCCCCGCGCCGGGCAGCGCCACGGGCGGGCCGAGCAGCACCCCCGGGACCCCGCACCGCGCCCGCGUACCCCCUUCCCUCAGGGGGCUGCAUCCGCCCGGCUCCCACAGACACGGGGGGCGAGCGGGCCGGGACCCCCACCCGCGGGGCUUUG